CACUAUCGUUAACUGAAUACAUAGGUUAACGAGGCGAACCGGGGGAACUGAAACAUCUAAGUACCCCGAGGAAAAGAAAUCAACCGAGAUUCCCCCAGUAGCGGCGAGCGAACGGGGAGCAGCCCAGAGUCUGAAUCAGCUUGUGUGUUAGUGGAACGGUCUGGAAAGUCCGACGGUACAGGGUGAUAGUCCCGUACACCAAAAUGCACAGGCUGUGAACUCGAAGAGUAGGGCGGGACACGUGGUAUCCUGUCUGAAUAUGGGGGGACCAUCCUCCAAGGCUAAAUACUCCUGACUGACCGAUAGUGAACCAGUACCGUGAGGGAAAGGCGAAAAGAACCCCGGCGAGGGGAGUGAAAAAGAACCUGAAACCGUGUACGUACAAGCAGUGGGAGCACCUUCGGGUGUGACUGCGUACCUUUUGUAUAAUGGGUCAGCGACUUAUAUUCUGUAGCAAGGUUAACCGUAUAGGGGAGCCGCAGGGAAACCGAGUCUUAACUGGGCGUUAAGUUGCAGGGUAUAGACCCGAAACCCGGUGAUCUAGCCAUGGGCAGGUUGAAGGUUGGGUAACACUAACUGGAGGACCGAACCGACUAAUGUUGAAAAAUUAGCGGAUGACUUGUGGCUGGGGGUGAAAGGCCAAUCAAACCGGGAGAUAGCUGGUUCUCCCCGAAAGCUAUUUAGGUAGCGCCUCGUGAAUUCAUCUUCGGGGGUAGAGCACUGUUUCGGCUAGGGGGUCAUCCCGACUUACCAACCCGAUGCAAACUACGAAUACCGAAGAAUGUUAUCACGGGAGACACACGGCGGGUGCUAACGUCCGUCGUGAAGAGGGAAACAACCCAGACCGCCAGCUAAGGUCCCAAAGUCAUGGUUAAGUGGGAAACGAUGUGGGAAGGCACAGACAGCCAGGAUGUUGGCUUAGAAGCAGCCAUCAUUUAAAGAAAGCGUAAUAGCUCACUGGUCGAGUCGGCCUGCGCGGAAGAUGUAACGGGGCUAAACCAUGCACCGAAGCUGCGGCAGCGACGCUUAUGCGUUGUUGGGUAGGGGAGCGUUCUGUAAGCCUGCGAAGGUGGCCUGUGAGGGCUGCUGGAGGUAUCAGAAGUGCGAAUGCUGACAUAAGUAACGAUAAAGCGGGUGAAAAGCCCGCUCGCCGGAAGACCAAGGGUUCCUGUCCAACGUUAAUCGGGGCAGGGUGAGUCGACCCCUAAGGCGAGGCCGAAAGGCGUAGUCGAUGGGAAACAGGUUAAUAUUCCUGUACUUGGUGUUACUGCGAAGGGGGGACGGAGAAGGCUAUGUUAGCCGGGCGACGGUUGUCCCGGUUUAAGCAUGUAGGCGGAGGUUCCAGGUAAAUCCGGUACCUUUUAACGCUGAGGUGUGAUGACGAGGCACUACGGUGCUGAAGUAACAAAUGCCCUGCUUCCAGGAAAAGCCUCUAAGCAUCAGGUAACAUUAAAUCGUACCCCAAACCGACACAGGUGGUCAGGUAGAGAAUACCAAGGCGCUUGAGAGAACUCGGGUGAAGGAACUAGGCAAAAUGGUGCCGUAACUUCGGGAGAAGGCACGCUGGUGUGUAGGUGAAGUCCCUGCGGACGGAGCUGAGACCAGUCGAAGAUACCAGCUGGCUGCAACUGUUUAUUAAAAACACAGCACUGUGCAAACACGAAAGUGGACGUAUACGGUGUGACGCCUGCCCGGUGCCGGAAGGUUAAUUGAUGGGGUUAUCCGUAAGGAGAAGCUCUUGAUCGAAGCCCCGGUAAACGGCGGCCGUAACUAUAACGGUCCUAAGGUAGCGAAAUUCCUUGUCGGGUAAGUUCCGACCUGCACGAAUGGCGUAAUGAUGGCCAGGCUGUCUCCACCCGAGACUCAGUGAAAUUGAACUCGCUGUGAAGAUGCAGUGUACCCGCGGCAAGACGGAAAGACCCCGUGAACCUUUACUAUAGCUUGACACUGAACAUUGAGCCUUGAUGUGUAGGAUAGGUGGGAGGCUUUGAAGCGUGGACGCCAGUCUGCGUGGAGCCAACCUUGAAAUACCACCCUUUAAUGUUUGAUGUUCUAACGUUGGCCCGUAAUCCGGGUUGCGGACAGUGUCUGGUGGGUAGUUUGACUGGGGCGGUCUCCUCCCAAAGAGUAACGGAGGAGCACGAAGGUUAGCUAAUCCUGGUCGGACAUCAGGAGGUUAGUGCAAUGGCAUAAGCUAGCUUGACUGCGAGCGUGACGGCGCGAGCAGGUGCGAAAGCAGGUCAUAGUGAUCCGGUGGUUCUGAAUGGAAGGGCCAUCGCUCAACGGAUAAAAGGUACUCCGGGGAUAACAGGCUGAUACCGCCCAAGAGUUCAUAUCGACGGCGGUGUUUGGCACCUCGAUGUCGGCUCAUCACAUCCUGGGGCUG
rnacentral:rRNA from 1 species